rnacentral:rRNA from 1 species
UAAGGAAUAUUGCUCAAUGGGAGAAAUCCUGAAGCAGCAACGCCGCGUGGAGGAUGAAGGGUCUAUGACUUGUAAACUCCUGUAAAGAAGGAAAAAAUUCCCAUUAAAUGGGAGAUGAUGGUACUUCUGGAGUAAGCCCCGGCUAACUACGUGCCAGCAGCCGCGGUAAUACGUAGAGGGCAAGCGUUGUCCGGAUUUACUGGGUGUAAAGGGUGCUCAGGCGGAUUUGUAAGUCAGAGGUGAAAUCUUACAGCUUAACUGUGAAACUGCCUUUGAUACUGCAAGCCUAGAGUAUGGAAGAGAGUGAUGGAAUAUCGGGUGUAGCAGUGAAAUGCGUAGAUAUCAGAUAGAACACCAAUGGCGAAGGCAGUCACUUGGUCCAUUACUGACGCUAAAGCACGAAAGCGUGGGUAGCAAACA